rnacentral:rRNA from 1 species
AUGUAAAAAGUUCAUCUUUAUAGAGAAACUGCGAACGGCUCAUUAGAGCAGAUAUAAUAUCCCCGAGAUAUCUUUAAUGGAUAACUGCGGUAAAUCUGGAGCUAAUACAUGUCACAAAAGCUAGGCUCGCCUAGCUGCAGGUAUUAGUGCAAACCAUUCGUUUUCGGACGUAGUUUGUUGACUCUGAAUACCCAGUAUAUCGACGGUUUAUCCGUCGAAAGCUCGGAAUAGUGUCUGCCCUAUCAACUAGAUGGUAGUCUAUUAGACUACCAUGGUGAUAACGGGUAACGGAGAAUAAGGGUUCGGCUCCGGAGAGGGAGCCUUAGAAACGGCUACCACAUCCAAGGAAGGCAGCAGGCGCGUAACUUAUCCACUACCACAGUGAGAUAGUGACUAAAAAUAAAAAGUCCAAUCCUAACGGAUCGGGAUAUUUCAAUGAAUUGAGCUCAAAUAGCUCUAUGAGGACCUAAUGGAGGGCAAGUCUGGUGCCAGCAGCCGCGGUAAUUCCAGCUCCAUUAGUGUACAUCGAUAUUGCUGCGGUUAAAAAGCUCGUAGUUUGAUCCUGGGUUGCAUGCGUUGAUACUCCUUUGGAGCUUAUCUUCGCUGCAGCUAAACUGCUGGUUAACUGCAGGUGUUUUCGGACCCUGUAGCGGCUAGCGAGAUUACUAACACAAAAUCAAAUAGCUUAGAUAAGGCGUCUGCCUGAAUGUUCUAUGCUGGAAUAAUGGAAAAGGACUUCGGUCUUAUUUAUUGGUUCUAAGUUCGAAGUAAUGAUUAAUAGAGACGAUUCGGGGCUGUUCGUAUCAUUACGCGAGGGGUGAAAUCCGUUGACCGUAGUGAGACGUCAAAAAGCGAAAGCAUU